rnacentral:rRNA from 1 species
AUACGUAGGGGGCAAGCGUUGUCCGGAAUUACUGGGCGUAAAGCGCACGCAGGCUGACUUAUAAGUCGGUAGUCUAAUGCGGAGGCUCAACUUCCGUUUAUCUAUCGAUACUGUAAAUCUGGAGUAUGUGAGAGGGAAGCGGAAUUCCCGGUGUCGCGGUGAAAUGCGUAGAUAUCGGGAGGAACACCAGUGGCGAAGGCGGCUUCCUGGCACAAUACUGACGCUCAUGUGCGAAAGCUAGGGCAGCGAACGGGAUUAGAUACCCCGGUAGUCCUAGCCGUAAACGAUGGAUACUAGGUGUGGGUGUCGCAGGGCAUCCGUGCCGCAGUUAACGCGUUAAGUAUCCCGCCUGGGGACUACGGUCGCAAGACUGAAACUCAAAUGAAUUGACGGGG